GUUUCCGCUGUUCCACCUGCAGCUCCACUCUCAGACAGGGAGCACAUGCUUUUGACUCUGAAAAUAGGAAAUUGUACUGUAAACUACAUUUUGAUCAACGUAACACUGGGACAAAUCUGCGGAGGAGUUCCUCUCUGCGCUCCAUUCAGAAUGGAGCCGGGGUUCAGGAGCCACGUCUUGUUGAUAAAGACAGAACUCCGUCCUGCAGCUCAGCAGACAUGAGCGGUAAACCUGCAGCAGGUACCUUCUGCUCCUUCAUAAAGAAACAGCUGAGCUGGCCAUUGAGUGUGUCUCGCACUGUGUGUAACGCCCCCUGGUAUGUGUCCAGCUGUGUGCAUGCUACAGCGCGGGCAUUUGUGCGUCACCUGAGGGACAACGCCCAGGACUAUACAUUCCUGUAUGAGCUACUGAGUGUGAGCUUGCCUCUGCUUUUUGUUUUACAAGAGGUACUGCUGCAGCUCUACACAGAGGCUGUGCCGGGGCCCACCAGCUCUGUACAGCCUCUGCUGCUGUGGCUGCAGGAGCACGUGAUCAACAGGCUUAUCUAGACAAUCGCCACAAACCCUGCUGUCCCCAUCAGCAAUGCAGCUGUCUGAGGUGAAGAGCAGCUCCAAUGACUAGCAUCUCACAACCAAAAUUGUGUCACCAUUGUGUUUAAUGUUUACCUCUCUGUCAGAAAACCAGUCUAGUUAAAGUCCAUACAUAAUAGACAUAGUUAGGAUGAGUUAGAAGUACAUAUGAUCCAACACGGCCAGAGUCGUCCUACUGUUGUCUGUGCUAACAACCUGUUAGCAGAAAGUGAGACCAGAGUUGCAAAUCAUUAGACUCUGCUUUUCAACACCAAACAUGGUCACAAUAUAAGGGCAAUAUGACAUCAUCACUUCCCCAUGUGACAUCACUCUUAAAGUUAAAUCAGUUCAAUCCUAACCGAUAACAGUCUGCUGUCAGGACGAGUGAUGCUGUUCUCAGAAUAGGAAGAGAAAGAGUGAAAACUGUUCUUUUGAUGUAUUCAUAUUUUAUGUUUUAAAUUUCUUUUACACUUGUGAUAGCAUUUUGAGUGGAUUUCGACUCAACAAAGUUGUCAUGUUAGGUUUUGUUUGUUUUUGAUGGACGACACAGUCAGUCAGCAGGACAAGUCUGUCUGUGCUGGAUUAUAUUCAGUACUUUGUUCAGUACUCCUUCACGAAAACAAAAACAUAUCAUAUAAACAAACCAACAUUCUCCUUCAUUUUUGUUGUUAGUGUGUCAGAUGCAUCCAGACUGAUCAAAGUUUUUUUUUUUUUUUUUUUUUUUAAUGGUCAGAACCUGCCAAUCGUAUUUGUGUCGGCAAUUAAUGCAGGUCACAGAUAAAAACUACUGACCAAUUCAUAUGGGUCCCAACUGGCAAGUACUGAAUAAGGGGCCGGACACAAACAGUGCCUUUAGAAUUUAAAACCUGCUGAAAUCACCUUAAAAAAACAGACCCUGCAGUUAAACUAUGUUGACUCAGGUAAUGACUGCCUAACUUGAUGCACUUUAUCUUUAGGGAUCUGCCUUAAAAACACAAUAUCUACUGUGUCCUACUGACAUAUACAGCCUCGCAUUGCAGUAUAUAUCUCUAUGCAACCCUUAGGUUAUCCGUUUUACAUUCUGACUGUUCUGGUUGACUGUAAGAGCAGAUCUCAACGUAGUAUUUUCUAUCCAGACACUCUGAGGAGGUGUUAAGUUCUACUCUGCUGCCACCUGCUGUUGACUCUCAGAAAACCAGGCUCAAAUGCAUAACACGACUAAUGUAAUGUUAUAUUUAAAUAACAGAAUGUGAAACGUUUGCUUCUUUCACAUUGACUGUAGAGUGUUGACACUGAGUUUUCUUACCAUUAUUAAAAAGCAUGUUGUAAGAAGAUCAACUGCAAACCUCUUUGACUGGAAGCUUCACAGUGGCUUCCUAUUCAAGUGCCCAUCUCUAUUGAUGCUGAGUUG